rnacentral:rRNA from 1 species
AGUUUGAUCCUGGCUCAGGACGAACGCUGGCGGCGUGCCUAAUACAUGCAAGUCGAGCGGAUUUAUCCUUCGGGAUAAGUUAGCGGCGGACGGGUGAGUAACGCGUAGGCAACCUGCCUAUAAGACUGGGAUAACUAUCGGAAACGAUAGCUAAGACCGGAUAACUGAUUUUCUCGCAUGAGAAAAUUAUGAAACACGGAGCAAUCUGUGGCUUAUAGAUGGGCCUGCGGCGCAUUAGCUAGUUGGUAGGGUAACGGCCUACCAAGGCGACGGUGCGUAGCCGACCUGAGAGGGUGAACGGCCACACUGGGACUGAGACACGGCCCAGACUCCUACGGGAGGCAGCAGUAGGGAAUCUUCCGCAAUGGACGCAAGUCUGACGGAGCAACGCCGCGUGAGUGAUGAAGGUUUUCGGAUCGUAAAGCUCUGUUGCCCUAGACGAACAGCAGGAGGAGUAACUGCCUUUUGUGUGACGGUAUAGGAGAAGAAAGCCCCGGCUAACUACGUGCCAGCAGCCGCGGUAAUACGUAGGGGGCAAGCGUUGUCCGGAAUUAUUGGGCGUAAAGCGCGCGCAGGCGGUCAAUUAAGUUGGGUGUUUAAGCCCGGGGCUCAACCCCGGUUCGCAUCCAAAACUGGUCGACUUGAGUGUAGGAGAGGAAAGUGGAAUUCCACGUGUAGCGGUGAAAUGCGUAGAGAUGUGGAGGAACACCAGUGGCGAAAGCGACUUUCUGGCCUAUAACUGACGCUUGAGCGCGAAAGCGUGGGGGAGCAACAGGAUUAGAUACCCUGGUAGUCCACGCCGUAAACA